GUUCCGUAGGUGAACCUGCGGAAGGAUCAUUACUGAGUUAGGGUCUUUAUGGCCCGACCUCCAACCCUUUGUUCAAUCUACCAUGUUGCUUUGGCAGGCCCGCUUAGAAAUGGGCCGCCGGAGACCUUUGAGUCUCUGGUCAGUGCCUGCCAGUAGCCUUUCUAAAUUCAUUUAUAACCGUGUCUGAAUAUACAAAGAAAAAUUAAAAUAAAACUUUCAACAACGGAUCUCUUGGUUCUG
rnacentral:misc_RNA from 1 species